AAUAUCCGAAACAAGUGACAUGGAUAGAAAAAUAGUUUUAAGCAGCACAAGGAAAUGUGAACGCAGUUUGAAGGCAAAAAGUACUUAAAAGAUUAAAAAAAUAGGAAGUGGAUAUUCAAAUAUGUUACUCUGAGAACUGUUUGUCUGAGACAGGAAAGGUUGCAGCUUGGUCAAAUUUAUCAGAAUAUGAAACCUUGGUUUAAUUUGAUAGAGCUGCUUCUGGCCCAUUGAAUUUAGAUAGAAAGGUGAAAGACUACUCACUGAUAUCACUGCUGAAGAAUUUUGCUAAGAGGCAAAAGAUUUGGAAUUAGAACAUUAGAAACUGUAUUGAAGAAGGAGAAUUAUUUUUACUUAAAACUACCAUAUGGAGUUUAAGGAAUUGAUCCAAAUAAAUUUUGAUUAUUGUUAGAAAGCAACGGAGAGCAGGAAAUCAUGUUUGAUUCUCAAUAUUUAUUUGAUUCUACUUCAUGUAUAAAUACUUAGUGCAGCUUCAACAACGGAAAUUCAGUUUAUGGAUUCUUCUUUCAAAGUAUCAGAUGACCUCUUGCUGUUUUUUCUUUUUGUUUUAAUUUUACACAAGUCUAUAUUUCCAAUGACCCUGCUAGAAGUUCUCUUUGUGGAAAUCAAAGCGAGUAGUGGUAUCAUUGCUGAAUUCCUGGGAAAGGUUCCAUAGUUGUUGUGUGAGCUUCGCAGAUCCACAGUAGAAAACACCUGCAGUUCCACAUAUUUAGAAGUUAAGAGUAAUACAAAUUGCACAGUUCAAUUGAAUAUAGCUAACCUAUUUGAGAGGCCUUGUGUGCGCUUGCCAAGUCAGAAAAAACUUUCCUCCAGUUUGGCCUUGCAAAGUGUCCUUAUCUGUCAUGUAUUAGCCAGAAAGGAGCAAACAUUUUUCUUUUCUUUGAGAUUACGAAAAGUUUAUGAUAAAGGGUAAUUACCCGACUUCCAGAGACAAUAUCAAGACCACUUUUGGCAUGUUGAAGUGACUGAACCAUCGGCAUAAGAGUGGACUGAACAUCACCUUCUUCAUACACACUUGUCAAGUAGUCGUGCAUUUCUAUGACAUUCUGAAAAGUAGAAUAAUGUAUUUGUCAGUUUUUUCUUUUUCGGAAUAUUCAAUGAGUAUGAAGGAAGCAACGGUUUUUUAGGAGAUACAUUGUGGUCACUUUCUGCAACUUCAUCCAUGACACUUUUGAACCAUUCAAAGGAGCCUUGUUCCCUGGUCACCCAAUAGAAAUAUUUCAAUAUGAAGUUACUAUGUUGGGACUGUGUAUUAUUCAAAAGAUCCCUCAAUAUGCUGAUAAAUGGAGUUGCACCAAUUCCCAGUCCAAUAAGCAAAAGAAUAUCGUAUUUCUUGUAAUCUUGAGCAGGUGCACCAUAUGGCCCAUCAAUGAAAAGCUUUGGAAAUAAGCAAAAAGGGAAUUAUUUUUGUCUGAAGCUUGACACAUUUGAGACAUCAGAUAGAGAUAAUUGAGGUGUGCCACUUGGACAUAUAAGAUUCUUUAUUACCUAGUAUCUUGAUGCUCAACAUCUGCAAUUACUGUGGUCUCAAGUCUAACUAGAUUAGCCUUCUUGGAUUUAACUUGAGCCUCGCAGGCCUGUUUUGAAGAAUGCUCAUAUAUCAUUUUGAAAUGUGAUUAUAGUUUCUUGCAAAGAAAGUGAAAGUUUAUCAGAACCCUAAAAGAACCUUUCCAAAUAAGUUCCUGAGUGCAGUGGUCCAGUCUCCCUAGGAUCGAAUAUGAACACUCAAAUAGCCAUCUCCUGGUGUGGAUGUGAUUGAGAAGGGAUGCCUGUCGCACAAUCAAAUUUAAAAGAUGAAUAAAGGAAUGUCGGUAAUAUUUCCUGUGAAGCUUGUGACAUACCAUUCAAAAGGUGUGACAUCUGGAUACUUGAUGAAUAGGUACAUUCCACUUUUACACUUGAAUCCUGGUGGCUUUUUCACAUGUAUUGAGAGGACGUUGCCUGGAUAUAUGACUGCCUGCGUAGCACAUUGGAAAACAAGAGGAAAAUAUCCUUGAUUUGACUCAGAGAUAUUCUUCCACUGCUCUUUAAAUAUUGAUAAGAGUAGUCUUACCUUAAUGAUGGCCACACAAUAGCUUUUCUCAUGAAGUUUUCUGAUUAAUCCCUCACAGGCAUAAAAAAGGACAGGAAUUGUGAGAUACAUCCAUGUCUGUGAAAUAAGGAGUCAUUGUCAAGACAAUAAUAUCUGUGUGUUGUACAUGUUUUGAGAUCACCAUUUCCUGAAGAGAAAGCAUAACAUACUGUCUUCUUGUACCACUUCUUGGUGAGAAAAAUGAAAUAGGAAUGAACUACUAGGAGAUCAUAUACCAGUGCCAGGAGGUGGUGGGCGUGCCAAAAUGCAUUAAAGCCAGCUAAGUGGUGGAGGGGUGAUGGCAACUUCACAACACUUCUUCUGAAGGAAUGCGUUGCUAGUGUGAAAGAAAAUGUCAUAAUCAAAAUCAUGAGGGUGCCAGUGACUCCAGGAAAACUGGCUAGUAGAGAUGGAUAUGUGGGCUGCUUGUCGUUGAAGUUUAGCCCCAGUGUAGUCAUGAACUUAGAUUUUGGACAUGUUAUUAUUCUUGGGAAAUCACAUGUUACAUGAGCAAGAGUAUGCACUACUGUCCCAAUAGCUAUUGCCGAUGCAAUAAUCUGUAUUUUAAUUUAUGGUAAGUCAAGAAUAUGGUCUAUUAUGAAAGAGUUCAGUUUAUCGUGUGGCAGAAAUCCUAUAAUUACCUUGUGGAAGUUGAUGUUGUCAUCAAAUGGGAAUAUUGAAUUAAGAGCAGUUAAUCUAAGUCUUGUAAGCAUAUUUCUGCGAACAGUGAUGAGAAUCAGAGCCAUGUUCAACUUCA